GAUGAAGAACGUAGCGAAAUGUGAUACGUAAUGUGAAUUGCAGAAUUCAGUGAAUCAUCGAAUCUUUGAACGCAUAUUGCGCUCUCUGGUAUUCCGGAGAGCAUGCUUGUUUGAGUAUCAGUAAACACCUCAACUCCCUUUUCUUUUUUGAAAUUGGAGCUGGACUUGAGUGAUCCCAACGCUUUCUUCCAAGAAAGUGGCGGGUUGCUUGAAAUGCAGGUGCAGCUGAACUUUUCUCUGAGCUAUAAGCAUAUCUAUUUAGUCUGCCUAAAAAACAGAUUAUUACCUUUGCUGCAGCUAACAUAAAGGAGACUAGUUCUUGUGCUGACUGAUGCAGGAUUCACAGAGACAGCUUCGGCUGACUUUGUAAACUCGAUCUCAAAUCAAGUAAGACUGCCCGCUGAACUUAAGCAUAUCAAUAAGCGGAGGA
rnacentral:misc_RNA from 1 species